AUCCCUUGACAUCCUGCGAACUUUCUAGAGAUAGAUUGGUGCCUUCGGGAACGCAGUGACAGGUGCUGCAUGGCUGUCGUCAGCUCGUGUCGUGAGAUGUUGGGUUAAGUCCCGCAACGAGCGCAACCCUUAUCAUUAGUUGCUAACAUUUAGUUGAGAACUCUAAUGAGACUGCCGGUGAUAAACCGGAGGAAGGCGGGGACGACGUCAAGUCAUCAUGGCCCUUAUGGGAUGGGCUACACACGUGCUACAAUGGAGGGUACAAAGAGCAGCCAACUGGCGACAGUGCGCGAAUCUCAUAAAACCCUUCGUAGUCCGGAUCGGAGUCUGCAACUCGACUCCGUGAAGUCGGAAUCGCUAGUAAUCGUGAAUCAGAAUGUCACGGUGAAUACGUUCCCGGGCCU
rnacentral:rRNA from 1 species